rnacentral:rRNA from 1 species
AUUGAACGCUGGCGCCAGGCUUAACACAUGCAAGUCGAACGAUGACUCUCUAGCUUGCUAGAGAAGAUUAGUGGCGGACGGGUGAGUAACAUUUAGGAAUCUGCCUAGUAGUGGGGGAUAGCUCGGGGAAACUCGAAUUAAUACCGCAUACGACCUACGGGUGAAAGGGGGCGCAAGCUCUUGCUAUUAGAUGAGCCUAAAUCAGAUUAGCUAGUUGGUGGGGUAAAGGCCCACCAAGGCGACGAUCUGUAACUGGUCUGAGAGGAUGAUCAGUCACACCGGAACUGAGACACGGUCCGGACUCCUACGGGAGGCAGCAGUGGGGAAUAUUGGACAAUGGGGGGAACCCUGAUCCAGCCAUGCCGCGUGUGUGAAGAAGGCCUUAUGGUUGUAAAGCACUUUAAGCGAGGAGGAGGCUCUUUUGGUUAAUACCCAAGAUGAGUGGACGUUACUCGCAGAAUAAGCACCGGCUAACUCUGUGCCAGCCGCCGCCGUAA